CCAAUCGAACCCGGAGAUAGCUGGUUCUCCUCGAAAUAGCUUUAGGGCUAGCCUCAUACAAGUCUGCCGGAGGUAGAGCACUGAAUUUCCGCGGGGGCGUCAAAGCCUACCAAAGAAUAUCAAACUCCGAAUGCCGGACAGAUGGUGUAUGGGAGUCAGACUGUACGAGAUAAGUUGGACAGUCAAAAGGGAAAGAGCCCAGACCGCCGGCUAAGGUCCCAAAGUGGGUGUUAAGUGGAAAAGGAUGUGGGAUCUCUAAGACAACCAGGAUGUUGGCUCAGAAGCAGCCAUUCAUUAAAAGAGUGCGUAACAGCUCACUGGUCGAGAGGUCCUGCGCCGAAAAUGUCCGGGGCUGAAACACCACACCGAAGCCGCGGAACCCGUAAGGGUUGGUAGAGGAGCAUUCUUAGGGGAGCGAAGCAUUACCGUAAGGGGAUGUGGACUGCUAAGAAGAGAGAAUGCCGGAAUGAGUAGCGAGAGCAAGGUGAGAAUCCUUGCGGCCGAAUAUCCAAGGUUUCCAGAGUAAAGCUGAUCUGCUCUGGGUAAGUCGGGGCCUAAGGAGAGGCAGAGAUGCGUAUCCGAUGGACAGCAGGUUUAAGAUUCCUGCACCCCUUGUUAUCAGAACUGCGGGGACACGGGAAGGGAAGCAGAGCCGGGAAUGGAAAGCCCGGUGCAAGCGAAGGAGUCGCAGGGUUGGAAAAUCCGCCCUGCAUGAGACGAAGGCGUGAUGCGGAGCGAAAUGAAGUAGUGAAGCUGCGGCCCCUUCCUGUCGAGAAAAGCCGCUAUCGUGUAGCAAGGGCCCGUACCGUAAACCGACACAGGUGGAUGAGGAGAGGAUCCUAAGGCCGGCGGGAGAAGUGUUGUUAAGGAACUCGGCAAAAUGACUCCGUAACUUCGGGAGAAGGAGUGCUGCGCAAGCAGCCGCAGAGAAAUGGCCCAAGCAACUGUUUAGCAAAAACACAGGUCUAUGCGAAACCGAAAGGUGAGGUAUAUGGGCUGACGCCUGCCCGGUGCUGGAAGGUUAAGAGGAGAGGUUAGCGCAAGCGAAGCUUUGAAUUUAAGCCCCAGUAAACGGCGGCCGUAACUAUAACGGUCCUAAGGUAGCGAAAUUCCUUGUCGGGUAAGUUCCGACCCGCACGAAAGG
rnacentral:rRNA from 1 species